rnacentral:lncRNA from 12 species
ACAGCACCAGCCAAGGCAAACAGGUUUUUCUCCCACACUCCUCACGUGCAAGUGUUGGUUCCAGCAAUGACCUCAGAAACAAGCAGAUCCUUCCAGCAUCACCACCUUCUCCUCAUCAUCAGGCUGGGUGACGUGUCCCAAAGCACCACUGAAAAGUGCACAGCAAAGCCCCCAGCUCCUCCAACCAAACCACAGUGGGGCAAACCCUGGUGAAACUCAACUCCUGCUGCUGUUCCUCAGCGUGGCAACGACUUCCCUGCAGCACAAUUUGUGCUAAAGAAAAUAAAAUUGCUCAGAGGAUGAUUAACCUGUGUUGCCUUUG